rnacentral:rRNA from 1 species
CCCUUAGAUGUCCUGGGCCGCACGCGCGUUACACUGAUGCAUUCAACGAGCUUAUAACCUUGGCCGAGAGGCCUGGGCAAUCUUGUUAACGUGCAUCGUGAUAGGGAUAGAUUAUUGAAAUUAUUAAUCUUGAACGAGGAAUUCCUAGUAAACGCAGAUCAUCACUCUGCAUUGAUUACGUCCCUGCCCUUUGUACACACCGCCCGUCGCACCUACCGAUUGGAUGGUCCGGUGAAGCCUCGGGAUUGUGGUUCUUGCCGCUUUAUUGUGGCGUGACCGCGAGAACUUGUCUAAACCUUAUCAUCUAGAGGAAGGUGAAGUCGUAACA